rnacentral:rRNA from 1 species
GUGGGGGAUAUUGCACAAUGGAGGAAACUCUGAUGCAGCGACGCCGCGUGAGUGAAGAAGUAUUUCGGUAUGUAAAGCUCUAUCAGCAGGGAAGAUAAUGACAGUACCUGACUAAGAAGCCCCGGCUAACUACGUGCCAGCAGCCGCGGUAAUACGUAGGGGGCAAGCGUUAUCCGGAUUUACUGGGUGUAAAGGGAGCGUAGAUGGAAUGGCAAGUCUGAAGUGAAAUCCUGCGGCUUAACUGCAGAAUUGCUUUGGAAACUGUCAAUCUGGAGUGUUGGAGAGGUAAGCGGAAUUCCUGGUGUAGCGGUGAAAUGCGUAGAUAUCAGGAAGAACACCGGAGGCGAAGGCGGCUUACUGGACAAUAACUGACGUUGAGGCUCGAAAGCGUGGGAAGCAAACAGGAUUAGAAACCCCUGUAGUCC